AAAGUAGAAAAAAAACACUAUGGAAAGAAUUCCCCUUCAUGAGCUGUAGAUUGCACUUGUAGUUUAUUGAGCCCAGAACAAAGAUUUGAUAUCUAUUUCCUUUCUAUUACAGCUCAUGAACUCACAACUGGAAUUUGCUUCUUCUAAAAGGAAAAAAAGAAGAGAAAGGAAAAAAAAAAAAAAGAUAUAGUGAGCCAGACCAUAAAACAGCAUUGGACUCUUAAAAAUUACAUUACAAUUGGAAUUUUUAAACCUAUGUAGAAAUUAUUAUUGUAUUGUAUUACUGUAAUAAGUGAAAUAGGAUAUUUUCAGCACAAAAUUUAAACAAAAAUAAACACCAGUAGUAUGGUGUAGGAAAUUACAAAUUGAAGCACUCAGUUUUAAAGGGAUUAAGGGUAAUGUAAAAUUGGCCUUUCACUUAAUACUGCUCUGCUGCUUUGGCAACUAUGCACCAAGAGACAGUUAAACAAUUACAUUAUUUCUGGCUAUAAAAUACUACCAGAAAAAAUCAUGUUUCAGAAUAAAUAAGGAAAAAAUAAAAUAAUUUAUGGACUAACAGGCCCAUACAAAUGGACACCAAAUGCACUGCAGCUUUCCCAGGACAGUGCCCAGUGUCGUUUUUCCCCCACCCUGCCCUUCCAAGUGACCCACAGAAGUGAGAGGAAUGACAUAUCCAAAACCAAGCCAUAAUGCCAAAGGCCAGAUUGACCUGCCAUGAAUACCAAUGGGAAAGAACUCUGUUGGUAGAACUGUGAAUGCUCUACAGUGGCAAGAGCAUGAUGCUCACCUCCACUGUAAUACCAGACAGAUCUACAGGAAUGGCCAAGGCUCCAAAUGGCCUUCCAAAACCAUGUGUGUCACCAAACCACUACAAAAUUUACCAGCUGCCUUCAGGAGAAAACUGAGAGAAGAUCUGAGACUUUUUAAGAAGUGAUAUCUGAAAAUUCCCUUGGCAAUUGCUAUU